AUUGAACGCUGGCGGCAGGCUUAACACAUGCAAGUCGAACGAGUGGCGGGCGGGUGAGUAAUGUCUGGGAAACUGCCUGAUGGUGGGGGAUAACCACUGGAAACGGUAGUUAAUACCGCAUAGCAUCAGGUGUGCUCAGAUGGGCUUAGCUUGUUGGUGGGGUAACGGGUCACCAAGGCGACGAUCCCUAGCUGGUCUGCGAGGAGGACGAGCCACACUGGACCAGUGGCACGGUCGAGACGCCUACGCGAGGGAGCAGUGGGGGAUGUUGCACAGUGGGCGCAAGCCGGAUGCAGCCAGGCCGCGUGUAUGGAGAAGGCCUUCGGGUUGUGAAGUACUUUCAGCGGGGAGGCGUUACCCGCAGAAGAAGCACCGGCUAACUCCGUGCCAGCAGCCGCGGUAAUUC
rnacentral:rRNA from 1 species